AUUGAACGCUGGCGGCAGGCUUAACACAUGCAAGUCGAGCGGAGCGAAGGUGCUUGCACCUUAGCUUAGCGGCGGACGGGUGAGUAAUGCUUAGGACUCUGCCUAUUAGUGGGGGACAACGUUUCGAAAGGAACGCUAAUACCGCAUACGUCCUACGGGCGAAAGCAGGGGAUCUUCGGACCUUGUGCUAAUAGAUGAGCCUAAGUCGGAUUAGCUAGUUGGUGGGGUAAAGGCCUACCAAGGCGACGAUCUGUAGCGGGUCUGAGAGGAGGAUCCGCCACACUGGGACUGAGACACGGCCCAGACUCCUACGGGAGGCAGCAGUGGGGAAUAUUGGACAAUGGGCGAAAGCCUGAUCCAGCCAUGCCGCGUGUGUGAAGAAGGCCUUUUGGUUGUAAAGCACUUUAAGCGAGGAGGAGGAGCUUCAGGUUAAUACCCUGGAUGCUUGGACGUUACUCGCAGAAUAAGCACCGGCUAACUCUGUGCCAGCCGCCGCCGUAACAC
rnacentral:rRNA from 1 species